AGUGAACGCUGGCGGCAGGCCUAACACAUGCAAGUCGAACGAGUGGCGGACGGGUGAGGAAUACAUCGGAAUCUGCUCUGUCGAGGGGGAUAACGUAGGGAAACUUACGCUAAUACCGCAUACGAUUGUAUGAGCCGAUGUCGGAUUAGCUAGUUGGGGGGGGAAAGGCCCACCAAGGCGACGCUCCGUACCUGGUCUGAGAGGAGGAUCAGCCACACUGGAACUGAGACACGGUCCAGACUCCUACGGGAGGCAGCAGUGGGGAAUAUUGGACAAUGGGCGCAAGCCUGAUCCAGCCAGGCCGCGUGGGUGAAGAAGGCCUUCGGGUUGUAAAGCCCUUUUGUUGGGGAAGCGGUACCCAAAGAAUAAGCACCGGCUAACUUCGUGCCAGCAGCCGCGGUAAUAC
rnacentral:rRNA from 1 species